AACAAAGUAUUAUAGCAUACUUGUUUAAUGCUCCAAGCCUUACAACCCACAUAACUUGUUUUGGUUUAGAUAUAAGAAGCUAAGCAACUUGUAAGUUUUCUUAUUUUUUCGAAACGAGCUUCUCAAUCAGAUCCGCUGCAUCCUGAACGGUUGCAAUGCUCUGAGCGCUUUCUUCUUCCACGCUGAUUCCAAAUUCUUCUUCCAGUCCCAUCACAAUCUCAACCUGAAUAAGAUCAAACAUAAUAGGUGUUCUCGGUCAAUCCAAACAACUAAUUACCCUUCCGACAUCUCACAUGACAUGCUACACAAUCCGCCCAUUUUCCACCUCUAUGUAAGUAGUUAAAGUCAACCCAACCCGAAUCCAAACAAUUAAAUGAUUAAUUGCUUGUUUUGACAAGUCAUUUUUCCACCUCUAAUAUUUAAGUGUUUAGGGUCAACCCAGCCCAACCCGACUCGUUUCAACCCAAUCAAUUAAUUGUCUAUUUUGACAUACCACACAACCCGCCCAUUUUUCCAUCUCUGAUAUAUACUAUGUUCCUAUGGAAUUGUGUCGGCUUUUAGUUACUACCACGACGAUUGUGGACUCCAAAAAACAAACCACAAUACCGUAUCAAGAGAAUCGGCUCCAAGAGUAGCGAACUUGGACUCUCCGGUUACAGCAGUGUCUUCUGGAACUGCCAACUGUUUCCUGACGAUGUUACAAACCUUGUUGACCGUCUCAGGUGUCGCCUGCCAAAAGAUGUAACCGGUCCGUAUUAAUAUACCAUAUUCUGGGGUGUAAACAAGCUCAUGGGCUACUUGAAACCGGCUCACUAAAAGCUCAAACAAGCAUCAUUAGCCUAAACAAGCCUUUUGUUUCUAUUCAUAUUACAAGUUUUAUUUUAUAUGAAAUAAAAAACAUAAAAAAAGUAUUAUAUAUAAUUAAAAUAUAGUAACUAACCAAUUAUGUUAAUACAAAAUUAAAAUAAAAAACACAUGUAAAAUUAGUUAUACUUAUUAUUAUCAAAAUUAAUAUAACUAAUUAAUAACGAAGGACCCAAGUCCAGGCUCGAGCUUUAGAAGAAGAGCUUGGAAUGAGCCGAGACCGAGCAGUCUGAAGUUAAACAAGAUGAGUCAAGCUCAAGCCUGAGUUGUUUAAACCUCUAACCAUAUAAUGAUAAUAAAAAUAGAGUUAACUUCCAUUUUGCUCCCUGUGAUUUGUUCAUUUUAUUUUAGUUAAACAGAGGUUAAAAAACACCGAUAACUGGUUUUUGGUUAAUUCGGUCAAUCGGUUUUCAGUUUGUUUCGCUUUCAUCUGUUUUUUAUUAACGAUUCAAUUAUUGCUUACCUCUUAGACAUUGUUAAUCACGUAAUAUAUCAAUUCGUUUAACUAAAACAAUUAUAGCAAUAUUAUACUCAAAUUAAAGAAAAUAAAAUGCUUGUUUUUAUGAUGUAACUUUAAAAAAAAUAUUAACAUCCGUAAAAGUUAUGGUGAUAGUUUGUUUUUUAUAAGAAAUAUAAAGUGUAACUGCUAAUUAAUUACUCAUAACUUGGUUAAUGAUGAACGAAUUAAAGUGGAAUUAAGAUGGGGUUUAAUUAAAAAAAAUCAACUUUAUACAAGAUUAUGAUAAAAAUUAUAUUUAUAAACGUAUAUAAAUUAAUCACUAAACUUUAUACAAGAUUAUGAUAAAAAUUAUAUUUAUAAACGUAUAUAAAUUAAUCACUAAACUUUAUACAAGAUUAUGAUAAAAGUUAUAUUUAUAAACGUAUAUAAAUUAAUCACUAAAUAACAAACGAGAACAGAGGUCUGAGUUUCGAAAAUAAAGCUUGAAAUCGGCUGGUUUACAACGCUAAAUUCAUAAACAAUCAUAAAACAAAAGAAAAAGAAAUUGGAAUCAAGGGAUUUGUUCAAAAAUGUGAAUAAUCAUAAUAAGAAAAAAAGAAGAAUCAUCAAACAUAUGUGCAAUUAUGUUACGAUCAAAUCAAAUCCAAGUUGAUCAAAAUAAUAAUAAUAAUAAUAAUCAUCGGAUCAAAACGACGUCGUGAAAUAUAAAACCUGAUUCGGUUUAUGGCAUGAAAGAGAGGGCAUGAAAGUGGAGAAUCCUGCAACAGAAGCCAUUGAUGAAGGCUGAAGGACGAAGGAUUUGA
rnacentral:lncRNA from 1 species